rnacentral:lncRNA from 1 species
AUAUCAUUGUGAGGUGGGCUUGGUAGUAGUGAGUCUCCCAUACCCUACUAAGAGUUUUCUCCAAAACUCUCGAAUUCCAAUGAGGGACAUGGAAUUUGCCAAAAAUAGUGGGUGGUGCUAUUUGAUUUAAAGACCCGAAUCAAAUGGCUUAAAAUCAAUCAAUUUGUAUUCGUUAUGUAUUUGUUUACCAAUAUAUUUGCAAACGUUAUCCAACACUUGACAAAUAAAAGCCAAAAGCUUUAGUUUCCGGACUUGGUACUACAAAACCAUAGAUUGUCUUUAAAUGGCUUGUAAAUGUACCUAAGUAGUCUCAUCCUCAUAAUCUUCCUAUUGAUAAUGUAUCAUUGGAAGAACAUGUUAGAAAAAGUCUAUCAUAAAGAGGACAACACUUUUAAAUGUCAUAAUUCUUCAAUUACAAUUUGUUGUAUGAAGAAAUAAGAGUUGCUUUGAACAACCCUUAAUCAAUGCAAACAUUAGUGCUUGUUUCUUUGUUACAUGAACAAAGAACUUUAGAAGAAAGCACAAAGGCAUGGACACUUAAUGUGCCAUGAUUCUUCACUUACAAAUUGUUGUAUGAAGAAAUAAGAGUUGCCUUGAACAACUCUUGAAAGUUUGUAAUUAUGUUUAGAACAUAAUGGUUGGUUGACAAAAAUAGUCCAUCAACAUGGACUUAUGAUGAUUUUGAAUCAUUGAGGGUUGAAGUGUUAAACCACUUAACGAGACGGAAACUAAGCUAGGACUUCACCUUUAUGUCCCUAUCCUAAUGGUUCACUAAGUUUAUUGUAAACUAUGUAGUGAACAAUAAAUACAUGCUCUUCAAAAUGUUUGAUGUGUAUAACACAAUUGAAAUAAGUUUCAAGAGAGAUAGUGGGAGUUUAGGGACCAUGACUAAUGUAGUCAAAGGUGAAAGUCAAAUAAAGAAGAUAAAAAUAACUCCAAGGGAACAAACUUUCUUUAUGAAAGGAUGGACAUUGGAAGGGGUAUUGGCAAGAAAUGUCUUGCAAGUGUCAAGAACACACCUUUUGAAGGUGUUGUAAAUUGUUCUUAAAUUCUUCUAGGAAGUCGUUCCAAAUCAUAUUCAAGGUAAUCAUAUAAGCACACGAAUCACAUUGAUAGUAGACAUGAAUAAACUAUCAAACCAAACAAUGUGGUCAAGAGUAUUGUAUUAGAGAAAGACCGUAUUGCAUUUGUAAUCCUAAACUGAAUAGGUUCUCCACCUCUUCUGAUUAGCUUGGGUAACCAUGAUAUGCUGCUAGGUGUCACUCAUGGUUUAUGGAAGCCCUAAACGUAUAAUCACUAAAGGGAGAAUUGAAAGUAAGUUUCAAUUCACAAUCGAUUUGAAAUGGUUUUAAU